CAGCGCAGCGCGCCCUCCUUCGCCCGCCUCGCUCUCUACGCACGGAAACAUGCGUACGGCCGCUCCGCGAAUAGCGGCGACGAGGACGCCCCGCCUCCCCCUUGCUGCCCAGGAGGGGGGCGGCGCAUGCGCUCGGCUGGCUCGCUCCCCCCGGGCUGUGUGUGUACUUCAUGCAUGAAACAUGGAUGGAACACAAGAAGUCUUUUGCAGGUUGAAAAUGUUUUCUGUCUGAAAUCUGCUGGAGAAGGACAAGCAGCACGCAUAGACCGAGCAGUCAGCAGAUACAGCAGCCAUAGGGACACAGCAGCCUACAUUGCUUCUGGUGGUCUUUUACCAGGUGCCGAAGUAUUUGAGAUUCAUUACUGUUGUUUUCACUACAUUAGUGAACACAGUUUGAUUUGUUUACUUAUCACACAAAUUGCUUUUGCCUUUUUCCAAAAAGGCUGUAGGAAUUUCUUGCAGUUUGAGCAUAGGAAUGGAACAGAACAUUUAUUUCUGGAAGGAUGGAGAUAACUUUUAUAUUAAGAAAUAUUUACCAUCUGUAUUCACGUAUUUUCUGAUUAAUAGGUAGCAUUGCUGAAGUGUUUGCAUUUAAGGGAGAGGUCAAGUCUGCUAUUGUUCUGUUUUGGAGGUGAAUGCAGAGCGCAUUGGCUUGCAGUGUGCCUGUGGUUUUUUUGUAGCUGCAGAAAAUAAUUGUGACCCCUGAUUAAGAGAGUGAUUUAAAACUGCUCUUUGCUGUGUUAACUUGAAGUUGUGAACUCCAAAGGUCUGCUGUGAAUAGCCUAUGAAUAGAAAAGGGGCUCUGCUGGAACUCUCCAUUAUGUUUGAAGUGUGUAGAAACUGGAGAUUGAAAAGACCCGCCAGUUCACUGAAUUCAUUGCACAGGCAAGACAGAAACUCUUUGCACAGUGAUACCCUUCCUAUAUUUCUCAAAGAGAGAAAGAAAAAGAAAACAUGUUGAGAUGUUUCUGGAGAAAAUGCUUUAACACAUUGCAAUCCAUUAGGAUGUCUGUAUUUUGACCCAGCCUGCCAUCGAGGCAAUUUUUGCAUCAAAUUUUCAGUGUCAGCUGCAGAAUGACUAAAAUAUUAAAGGCUUAUGGAGAACAAAGAUGAUUUAUUAUAUAUUUCUUGCUCUUACACUGAAAGGAAAUAUUAUUUAGUCCACAGCUAUUGAUAUUCUCAUGUUCUUUGAAUAACUGUUAGCUUAGUGUAAAUUUAAAAGUUGGGAAAAUAUACCAGAGGUUGGUUAUAUAUAUUUAUUACUUUUAAAUAAGAAUCCCUCCCAAAAUAAACAACUGUCAACCUGCA
rnacentral:lncRNA from 1 species